rnacentral:rRNA from 1 species
GAGUUUGAUCAUGGCUCAGGAUGAACGUUAGCGGGAGGCUUAACACAUGCAAGUCGAGGGGUAUAGGUAGCAAUACUUAGAGACCGGCGCACGGGUGAGUAACGCGUAUGCAACCUGCCUGUUACAGGGGGAUAGCCCGUAGAAAUGCGGAUUAAUACCCCAUAGUACUGAGAAGUCGCAUGAUUUUUCAGUUAAAGUUUCGGCGGUAACAGAUGGGCAUGCGUGACAUUAGCUUGUUGGUGAGGUAACGGCUCACCAAGGCUUCGAUGUCUAGGGGUUCUGAGAGGAAGAUCCCCCACACUGGUACUGAGACACGGACCAGACUCCUACGGGAGGCAGCAGUGAGGAAUAUUGGUCAAUGGGCGAGAGCCUGAACCAGCCAUCCCGCGUGCAGGAAGAAUGCCCUAUGGGUUGUAAACUGCUUUUUCGCAUGAAGAACAUUCCGGUCGUGACCGGAACUGACGGUAAUGCGUGAAUAAGCACCGGCUAACUCCGUGCCAGCAGCCGCGGUAAUACGGAGGGUGCAAGCGUUAUCCGGAUUUAUUGGGUUUAAAGGGUGCGUAGGCGGCAAUUUAAGUCAGUGGUGAAAUCCUGCAGCUCAACUGUAGAACAGCCAUUGAAACUGAAUUACUUGAGUAAUCUUGAG